rnacentral:ncRNA from 1 species
UAAAAGGCAUUGAAGAGAAGAGUAGAUUAAGAUGAUUUCUCUAAAGAGAGCUUCGGCAGCUGAAAAGAAGCGGGAAGGAACUUGAUUGAACAUGGCCUCUGAGCCUCGUGCUGAAAGGAUAGAGUGAUCUAUUGCGAGUAGGUUCCGGCGAGAUUUGGUACUCGUUAUCCAUACCAAGGUGUAAAGAACGUAUGAAUCGUUUAUGCACUUACUGAGACUGUUUAUGCGAAUAAAUAGUGAAUUAAGGUGGUACCGCGUGCAAUCACACCACGUCCUUAAC